rnacentral:rRNA from 1 species
GGAUAACUUACCCUUAGGACUGGGAUAACUCUGGGAAACUGGGGAUAAUACUGGAUAUUAGGCUAUGCCUGGAAUGGUUUGCCUUUGAAAUGUUUUUUUUCGCCUAAGGAUAGGUCUGCGGCUGAUUAGGUCGUUGGUGGGGUAAUGGCCCACCAAGCCGAUGAUCGGUACGGGUUGUGAGAGCAAGGGCCCGGAGAUGGAACCUGAGACAAGGUUCCAGACCCUACGGGGUGCAGCAGGCGCGAAACCUCCGCAAUGUACGAAAGUGCGACGGGGGGAUCCCAAGUGUUAUGCUUUUUUGUAUGACUUUUCAUUAGUGUAAAAAGCUUUUAGAAUAAGAGCUGGGCAAGACCGGUGCCAGCCGCCGCGGUAACACCGGCAGCUCGAGUGGUAGCUGUUUUUAUUGGGCCUAAAGCGUUCGUAGCCGGUUUGAUAAGUCUUUGGUGAAAGCUUGUAGCUUAACUAUAAGAAUUGCUGGAGAUACUAUUAGACUUGAAGUCGGGAGAGGUUAGAGGUACUACCGGGGUAGGGGUGAAAUCCUAUAAUCCUGGGAGGACCACCUGUGGCGAAGGCGUCUAACUGGAACGAUCUUGACGGUGAGUAACGAAAGCCAGGGGCGCGAACCGGAUUAGAUACCCGGGUAGUCCUGGCCGUAAACGAUGUGGACUUGGUGUUGGAAUGGCUUUGAGUUGUUCCGGUGC